GGGGAAGUAGCUUAAAUGGUACAGUGCUUGUUUUGCAUGCGAGAGGAAUGGGGUUCAAUACACCGCAUCUCCA
rnacentral:tRNA from 1 species